UAUUCGUUACAGGGUUGCAGUGCCCCUGUGAUGAAGUCGGAAGUGACAAAACGCAUUGGGUGGGGAUUGGCUACACUGCAACUGUAUGCUGAGGCUGGGAAGGCUAACUGACAUCUAGCAAACAAAGAAGUGCAUGUCUUCAACAAAAUACAUCUUCAGAAGGACUCAAAAUCUUGGAUCAAGGGAUUACUGUUUUACAAACAGCUUUAAUACCGUAAUGCAACAUUGGUGCGAUUACGGGAGCAAAAGAAGGUGGGCUUCCAAUGGAGACUACAAAAGCCUGUUUCAACACACAUUUAAUGUAGGCAUGGUCCAGUGGUGGUAUCACCUUCUGCAAACCUGUUCUGAGAAGUGCCUUGCAGCUAUAACUGGAAUGCAUGCAUACCAACAUAAAGUGGCUGCAAAGAAGCAUAAGCUGAAAAAACGUAAAAAUAAAAUGUACUUUCUUAAAACAAACAGUAGUUUUUAUGACAUACAAUGCAUUUGCAGACUAAAUGUU